AGUCAACCCUGGCGGCAGGCCUAACACAUGCAAGUCGAGCGGAUGACGGGAGCUUGCUCCUUGAUUCAGCGGCGGACGGGUGAGUAAUGCCUAGGAAUCUGCCUGGUAGUGGGGGACAACGUUUCGAAAGGAACGCUAAUACCGCAUACGUCCUACGGGAGAAAGCAGGGGACCUUCGGGCCUUGCGCUAUCAGAUGAGCCUAGGUCGGAUUAGCUAGUUGGUGAGGUAAUGGCUCACCAAGGCGACGAUCCGUAACUGGUCUGAGAGGAUGAUCAGUAAAACUGGAACUGAGAAACGGUCCGGACUCCUACGGGAUGCAGCAGUGGGGAAUAUUGGACAAUGGGCGAAAGCCUGAUCCAGCCAUGCCGCGUGUGUGAAGAAGGACUUCGGAUUGUAAAGCACUUUAAGUUGGGAGGAAGGGCAGUAAGUUAAUACCUUGCUGUUUUGACGUUACCGACAGAAUAAGCACCGGCUAACUCUGUGCCAGCCGCCGCAGUAACAC
rnacentral:rRNA from 1 species